rnacentral:rRNA from 1 species
UACGUAGGGUGCGAGCGUUGUCCGGAAUUAUUGGGCGUAAAGAGCUUGUAGGCGGUCUGUCGCGUCUGCUGUGAAAAUCCGGGGCUCAACCCCGGACUUGCAGUGGGUACGGGCAGACUAGAGUGUGGUAGGGGGAGACUGGAAUUCCUGGUGUAGCGGUGAAAUGCGCAGAUAUCAGGAGGAACACCGGUGGCGAAGGCGGGUCUCUGGGCCGAUACUGACGCUGAGGAGCGAAAGCGUGGGGAGCGAACAGG